GAGCAAACCCGUCUAAAUUAGUAAUGAUGUGACAUUUGCAUUGAAAGUUGUCAAAAUUAAUAGAUGAUUCUCCGUGCCUACCAAAAUUUCUAUUUUGGAAAAGGCCUUGAACAAGUCGCUACAUC